AGCCCUAGAGAUAGUAAGAGUUGCGACACUCCCAUAGGGUGCCGUUGUACGCUUUCUUUCGGUCUACUUCCGGGUUGUGGAGGCUUGUUUAGUUCCAAGCACCGCUUCGACAGUGAUAGCCACCGUUCAUUUGCACUGCAGGUCGUUGAGUAUAUGUGGAGUAUCCCGAGAGCCCUCACUGAAGACACGAAGACCCUCAUUGUUUCUCCCAUUGUCAAUAAAACAUACUAUUUCAUUCAUCAAAGCAUAA